rnacentral:rRNA from 1 species
AACCUGCGGAGGGAUCAUUACAGAGUUGCAAAACUCCAAACCAUUGUGAACUUACCUUUGCCGUUGCUUCGGCGGGCGGCCCGGGUCCCGACCCGGCGCCCCCCGGCCCCUUCUGGGGCGCCCGCCGGAGGUAAACCAAACUCUUGAAUUGUAUGGCCUCUCUGAGUCUUCUGUACUGAAUAAGUCAAAACUUUCAACAACGGAUCUCUUGGUUCUGGCAUCGAUGAAGAACGCAGCGAAAUGCGAUAAGUAAUGUGAAUUGCAGAAUUCAGUGAAUCAUCGAAUCUUUGAACGCACAUUGCGCCCGCCAGUAUUCUGGCGGGCAUGCCUGUUCGAGCGUCAUUUCAACCAUCAAGCCCCCGGGCUUGUGUUGGGGACCUGCGGCUGCCGCAGGCCCUGAAAACCAGUGGCGGGCUCGCUAGUCACUCCGAGCGUAGUAGUUUACACCUCGCUCAGGGCGUGCUGCGGGUUCCGGCCGUUAAAAGCCUUAUUUACCCAAGGUUGACCUCGGAUCAGGUAGGAAGACCCGCUGAACUUAAGCAUAUCAAUAA